GUUAAGCGACUAAGCGUACACGGUGGAUGCCCUGGCAGUCAGAGGCGAUGAAGGACGUGCUAAUCUGCGAUAAGCGUCGGUAAGGUGAUAUGAACCGUUAUAACCGGCGAUUUCCGAAUGGGGAAACCCAGUGUGUUUCGACACACUAUCAUUAACUGAAUCCAUAGGUUAAUGAGGCGAACCGGGGGAACUGAAACAUCUAAGUACCCCGAGGAAAAGAAAUCAACCGAGAUUCCCCCAGUAGCGGCGAGCGAACGGGGAGCAGCCCAGAGCCUGAAUCAGUGUGUGUGUUAGUGGAAGCGUCUGGAAAGGCGCGCGAUACAGGGUGACAGCCCCGUACACAAAAAUGCACAUGCUGUGAGCUCGAUGAGUAGGGCGGGACACGUGGUAUCCUGUCUGAAUAUGGGGGGACCAUCCUCCAAGGCUAAAUACUCCUGACUGACCGAUAGUGAACCAGUACCGUGAGGGAAAGGCGAAAAGAACCCCGGCGAGGGGAGUGAAAAAGAACCUGAAACCGUGUACGUACAAGCAGUGGGAGCACGCUUAGGCGUGUGACUGCGUACCUUUUGUAUAAUGGGUCAGCGACUUAUAUUCUGUAGCAAGGUUAACCGAAUAGGGGAGCCGAAGGGAAACCGAGUCUUAACUGGGCGUUAAGUUGCAGGGUAUAGACCCGAAACCCGGUGAUCUAGCCAUGGGCAGGUUGAAGGUUGGGUAACACUAACUGGAGGACCGAACCGACUAAUGUUGAAAAAUUAGCGGAUGACUUGUGGCUGGGGGUGAAAGGCCAAUCAAACCGGGAGAUAGCUGGUUCUCCCCGAAAGCUAUUUAGGUAGCGCCUCGUGAAUUCAUCUCCGGGGGUAGAGCACUGUUUCGGCAAGGGGGUCAUCCCGACUUACCAACCCGAUGCAAACUGCGAAUACCGGAGAAUGUUAUCACGGGAGACACACGGCGGGUGCUAACGUCCGUCGUGAAGAGGGAAACAACCCAGACCGCCAGCUAAGGUCCCAAAGUCAUGGUUAAGUGGGAAACGAUGUGGGAAGGCCCAGACAGCCAGGAUGUUGGCUUAGAAGCAGCCAUCAUUUAAAGAAAGCGUAAUAGCUCACUGGUCGAGUCGGCCUGCGCGGAAGAUGUAACGGGGCUAAACCAUGCACCGAAGCUGCGGCAGCGACGCUGAUGCGUUGUUGGGUAGGGGAGCGUUCUGUAAGCCUGCGAAGGUGUGCUGUGAGGCAUGCUGGAGGUAUCAGAAGUGCGAAUGCUGACAUAAGUAACGAUAAAGCGGGUGAAAAGCCCGCUCGCCGGAAGACCAAGGGUUCCUGUCCAACGUUAAUCGGGGCAGGGUGAGUCGACCCCUAAGGCGAGGCCGAAAGGCGUAGUCGAUGGGAAACAGGUUAAUAUUCCUGUACUUGGUGUUACUGCGAAGGGGGGACGGAGAAGGCUAUGUUGGCCGGGCGACGGUUGUCCCGGUUUAAGCGUGUAGGCUGGUUUUCCAGGCAAAUCCGGAAAAUCAAGGCUGAGGCGUGAUGACGAGGCACUACGGUGCUGAAGCAACAAAUGCCCUGCUUCCAGGAAAAGCCUCUAAGCAUCAGGUAACAUCAAAUCGUACCCCAAACCGACACAGGUGGUCAGGUAGAGAAUACCAAGGCGCUUGAGAGAACUCGGGUGAAGGAACUAGGCAAAAUGGUGCCGUAACUUCGGGAGAAGGCACGCUGAUAUGUAGGUGAAGUCCCUCGCGGAUGGAGCUGAAAUCAGUCGAAGAUACCAGCUGGCUGCAACUGUUUAUUAAAAACACAGCACUGUGCAAACACGAAAGUGGACGUAUACGGUGUGACGCCUGCCCGGUGCCGGAAGGUUAAUUGAUGGGGUUAGCCGCAAGGCGAAGCUCUUGAUCGAAGCCCCGGUAAACGGCGGCCGUAACUAUAACGGUCCUAAGGUAGCGAAAUUCCUUGUCGGGUAAGUUCCGACCUGCACGAAUGGCGUAAUGAUGGCCAGGCUGUCUCCACCCGAGACUCAGUGAAAUUGAACUCGCUGUGAAGAUGCAGUGUACCCGCGGCAAGACGGAAAGACCCCGUGAACCUUUACUAUAGCUUGACACUGAACAUUGAGCCUUGAUGUGUAGGAUAGGUGGGAGGCUUUGAAGUGU
rnacentral:rRNA from 1 species